CCCACUCCAUAAGCAAGCAGUACAAGUAGCAGUACAUAUUUUUCCUUCUCUGAUGUGCUAUUGCCCGACUCAAAACUUGCAUGAAGUGCCCAGCCGCUGCUUCAUCCUUUGACCUGCUGCUGCCCUUGCGCGCUCCUGCAGUGCUUCUUUGAGCAGUUCCUGGAACUUUUCAAGGAAGACAUUCCACUCAUCGGCACUCAUAUCCGAUAGCCUGACAAAACACAUACUUGAUUGAAGUUGUUCAUCCGCACUCCUGUUCAUGGCACUUUUUGUAGCUUUGCUAGGAAAAUUGGGUGUAUUCCAUCCGGUGUAAAAGACUCGAUCAGAUUCAUUUUGAUCUUCAUGGCCAUCAUUGCCCUCUUCAACGCUUUCGACGAGCUUAGACAGAGAGCUUCUGUAACUAGACCCCUUGAAACCUGAGCCAUUGAAUCUUGGCGAUCGCAUUAAAUCAUUGUAUUCUCCUAACAUAUCCAUCGAGAACUGGAAAUCAAUGUCACCCUCUUGCUCAGCUGUAGCAGAGAAUGGCUCCCAUUCUGCUACUCUCUUCCUGGCCUCCAUACACACAACCUCCAGCUGGCUUGGUUCCUCCUCCAUCCCUCUGAACUCCCUUGUCAUCAUCUCACCUAUCUCUGCCAAGCAAAGUCCGAAAGCUGCAGCUUUCUUGAGAAAGAUUGUGCACAGGACCAGGACACGCAAGCAGGCCUCACGUAUCAUUGGAAGUUCUCUGCGCAGCAUCAUCACAUCCUUUCCUGGAUCAAGAUUUCUGAUAUACUCGAGCUCUUCCUCAGAAAACGGAAUCGAUGCCUGUGCCCAAUGUAUCCACUCGAAGUAAGGGUCCUCCAAGUUCUCUGGCAAGCACAUGCCGUGAUCAAUUGGGAACAGCUCUGUCUGGCAACCGAAGCGACCUGUGCCACCAUUAAGCUUCCUCACCAGCACAUUACCAGCAUGCCUGUCAGUGUUGAAAAUUCGGAUAUCUAGUAUCCCGAUCCUAUGAACAGCAGCAACAGGGAAGCUUGAUGUGCCAUGGUCACUGGCAUCGAAGUCAUGGGCAAUGAACUGCUGGAAUGAAGCAAUCUUGCUGUUAACUUGCUGCUUCUGGUCAUGAGUUGGAGACGGAUUCCCCCCAUUUACCGGACAAUUUAUGUUGAAAAUGGAGUGUGUUAUCUUCACCAGAGCAGUGGCAGGAACAUUGGCAAAGUUGUCAUGGUCCAACAGGUAUGCUGCAACCUCCCUGAAUCCCGUCUCUCCUACUCGCACAGAUUUCUUCAGUCCUGGCUGACCAAGCGCCCUCCCGACAAAACCCUUGGGAUUAUUUGGUGCAAAAGGCUCCUCGUCCGUCGGUUUCACAAUGGCAACCCUGUCACCAAUGACAUUCCUGAAGUAGUAUGAGCCACCAAGGCCGCUGCUGAUGGGGACUGGAUCCACCCCGCUCCUGAUAGCGGUCACCACGUCCUCGACAAGGCGCUUCACCCGAUCACAGCUGCUGGAACACCCGAGCAUCUCAACCAGGCCACUGCAAUCCUUUUGCUCGAAGUCCUUGGAGACGGGGCAGAGGCAUGGGGUGGAGCAGCUCCGGUUGAUGCUGUUCCUGGUGAGCAGCAGCGGCGAGUCCGACCGUAUGGAGGAGAGGUCGUUCUCCAGGACGCGGUCACCGAACGUGAGCGAGGUCUCGCCGGUGGGCACGUUGAGCGCGAGCUGCAGCCGGCGCUUGACGGUGUGCGCGUUGUCCCCGCGGUCCAGGUCCAUGCCGAGCACACAGCCGGUCUCCGUCUGCACGUACACCCGCCGCCUCCCCACCGGCGCCGUGGACGGGGAGCGCGACAGCUGCUUCGCCUCAUCCCGCCUGGACGCGCCGAAGAGGCGCCUCAGGAGCAGCGCCGGCACCUGGCUCUUGAUGGCGCUGUCCAGGUUGGGGGACAUGGCUUAGCUUCCUCCUCUUCUUGGAGCGCGCGCCGUGCGGGGUGGACGACGCCGUCAGGGAGAGGGGAAGGCGCGCUCUUGUUGCUAUCAUUGGAUCACGCCUGCAAAACCAACCACCAAAAAGAACCCAAAUCUUUCCACUGAAUCCCUCGACCAAACACCGAAAAAUGACAACUUCCCUAAGAACUCGCCGUGAAUUCGACUGUCCGGAACAUGGAAAGCAAGAAUUCAAACUGAUUCAAGGAGGGACGGCAAUUUGAAUCUCAGCGCUCACCAUGCGAGGGUAAGGUGCCCGUGGAGAAGGGGGUGUGGGGGAUAGCCGCAGGGAUCGGCCGGGGCGGCGGGACGGCGCGGCGGCAGGCUGGCGGCGGAGCAGAGCCCAAUUCCUCAUUCCAUCUGCGCGCCUCCGUCCACCACCGGAGUCCUGACCUCUACUGC
rnacentral:lncRNA from 1 species